rnacentral:rRNA from 1 species
AGAACGAACGCUGGCGGCAUGCCUAAUACAUGCAAGUCGAACGAACACUUCGGUGUUAGUGGCGCACGGGUGCGUAACGCGUGGGAAUCUGCCCUUGGGUUCGGAAUAACAGUUGGAAACGACUGCUAAUACCGGAUGAUAUCGAAAGAUCAAAGAUUUAUCGCCCAGGGAUGAGCCCGCGUAGGAUUAGCUAGUUGGUGAGGUAAAGGCUCACCAAGGCGACGAUCCUUAGCUGGUCUGAGGAGGAUGAUCAGCCACACGUGGACUGAGAUACGGCCCAAGACUCCUACGGGAGGCAGCAGUAGGGAAUAGUUGGACAAAGUGGGCGACAAGCUGAGUCCAGCAA